rnacentral:rRNA from 1 species
UACGGAGGAUGCGAGCGUUAUCCGGAUUUAUUGGGUUUACAGGGUGCGUAGGCGGGUUAUCAAGUCAGCGGUAAAAUCGUGGAGCUCAACUCCAUCCAGCCGUUGAAACUGAUGAUCUUGAGUGGGCGAGAAGUAUGCGGAAUGCGUGGUGUAGCGGUGAAAUGCAUAGAUAUCACGCAGAACUCCGAUUGCGAAGGCAGCAUACCGGCGCCCGACUGACGCUGAAGCACGAAAGCGUGGGUAUCGAACAGG